AUAAAUCAAAAUGGAUUCAUUCAAAUUCAAGGUUCAUUCAAGAUUAAAUUCGGAUUCAUCUUUGGAAGGAAACCUCUUUCUUAAAGCACAAGUUACAUAAAUCUAUUCAAAAGGCCAUUUCCAUAAGAAAUCCAAAAUAAAAAAUCACAUGUUUUGACCUAGGGUUGACUUUUUGGUCAAAUAGUUGACCAAAGUCAACUACCUAAACCUAAGACAUAAUUCCACUUAUUCUUCAUUCACAAAGCCUCCAAGUCUUCAAAGCCCUCAAAUUCUUCACAAUUUUUGAUAUGACUCACACCUUGAAUCCAUGCCAUGCCUUGAUCAAGCCUUGCCACCACCGUGCCAAGUCACCCUAGUUACCUGCAACAAGCAAAACAUAAACAUGAUGCCACAAUUCAAUAAGUCAUGCCAUGCAUAUUGUCGCCAUUCAAAUCAUAACACAAACCAUAUAAAAGCCAAGAAACAAGUCAAUCCAAUUACCAUAUGACUCAAUCACCAAUAACAUAACUAAUUCAUACAUUUCACCAUGCAACCUACUGCAUUUCCAAGUUCACUAAUUUGACAUUCCAUGUCCUCCAAACAUGCUAUAACAGGCCAUUAACUUCUCCAUUUUCACUAACCAUCAUUAACAUACCAAGCUAAUAUGACUAAAACCUCAUAACAGACUUCUUUUCCAAAAUUGUUAUGACUUUUCUAACAUAUCUCAAUCCAACUAAUUCAGUCAUAAUAUUACCUACUAUACAAAUUGCCAAUUUCAAAUCACUGACACUUGAUUAACUUCUUCACUAGCAGUUCCAAUUAACUCCACUAAUCAACUUAAGUAACUACACUAACUAAUUUUAACAUUAGUUCAACUUCAAUUCAAUAACAUUUCAUCUUAACAUUUACUAAGAGUCAACUAAACAUCAACUACAGUUCCAAUACACUAAUCAAAUCAUUUCAUUAACAAUAGUUCUAAUAAUUCCAACAGCUAACUCUCAUUUCACUAAUGUCUAAAUCCAAAAUAAUUCAUAGUUCACCAAAUAGUUGCAAGGCAGUUCAUUGACACAUUUCAAUAGGACACUUUUAAAUAAAAGAAAAAUAAGCUAACACUAACCAAUUACUCCAUUCACUAACAUUUUCCAAUUCAAUUCCAUAACCGUAAGAACUAGAUAUGCUAACAGUCCAGUUUCAUUGAAAUGCAAAUGUCACGAAAUUCUAACUUCAUAACCGACCUCCAAUUCAAACAAAUAACACUUCCAAUAGUGAAACUAACAUAGUUACAAACUCAUAAUUCACUAACUUUCUUCUUAACUUCCAACUAACUCUAACUGUCAACAUUACUCAUAACUAACUAUAGCUUCAACAUUCUAACAAUUCAACUAACACUUCAAUUCCAACUAUCAUUAACAUAAGGUUAAUAGAGUCAGAAUUCCUAACAAACUUUCCUCUUGAUAUUACCUAACGAUAACAGUGCCCUAACCCUCUAACAACCAUUGCCUCAAGCCUGCCGGAAAUUGUUACACCAUCUCUCUCUCUAUCUAUCUAUUUAUCUAUUUAUCUAUCUAUCUAUGAAUUGAAAAUAAGUGGAACCAAUAUAGGUGAUGGAUAAACCUUGGCCAUUUCCAAGCAUUACUUGAUCUGAGCCAAAAGUUGAGAUG
rnacentral:lncRNA from 1 species